UUGGUAUGGUCCAGCAGCCGCGGUAAAACGUAGGUCACAAGCGUUGUCCGGAAUUACUGGGUGUAAAGGGAGCGCAGGCGGGAAGACAAGUUGGAAGUGAAAUCUAUGGGCUCAACCCAUAAACUGCUUUCAAAACUGUUUUUCUUGAGUAGUGCAGAGGUAGGCGGAAUUCCCGGUGUAGCGGUGGAAUGCGUAGAUAUCGGGAGGAACACCAGUGGCGAAGGCGGCCUACUGGGCACCAACUGACGCUGAGGCUCGAAAGUGUGGGUAGCAAACAGG
rnacentral:rRNA from 1 species